rnacentral:rRNA from 1 species
CCAUUGUAACACGUGUGUAGCCCCGGACGUAAGGGCCGUGCUGAUUUGACGUCAUCCCCACCUUCCUCACAUCUUACGACGGCAGUCUCUCUAGAGUCCUCAGCAUGACCUGUUAGUAACUAAAGAUAAGGGUUGCGCUCGUUAUGGCACUUAAGCCGACACCUCACGGCACGAGCUGACGACAACCAUGCAGCACCUUCACAUUUGUCUUACGACUAUACUGUUUCCAAUAUAUUCAAAUGCAAUUUAAGCCCGGGUAAGGUUCCUCGCGUAUCAUCGAAUUAAACCACAUGUUCCUCCGCUUGUGCGGGCCCCCGUCAAUUCCUUUGAGUUUCACCGUUGCCGGCGUACUCCCCAGGUGGAAUACUUAAUGCUUUCGCUUGGCCGCUUACUGUAUAUCGCAAACAGCGAGUAUUCAUCGUUUACUGUGUGGACUACCAGGGUAUCUAAUCCUGUUUGAUACCCACACUUUCGAGCAUCAGUGUCAGUUGCAGUCCAGUGAGCUGCCUUCGCAAUCGGAGUUCUUCGUGAUAUCUAAGCAUUUCACCGCUACACCACGAAUUCCGCCCACCUCUACUGUACUCAAGACAGCCAGUAUCAACUGCGAAUUUUACGGUUGAGCCGCAAACUUUCACAACUGACUUAACUGUCCACCUACGCUCCCUUUAAACCCAAUAAAUCCGGAUAACGCUCGGAUCCUCCGUAUUACCGCGGCUGCUGGCACGGAGUUAGCCGAUCCUUAUUCAUAUGGUACAUACAAAAUUCCACACGUGGAAAACUUUAUUCCCAUAUAAAAGAAGUUUACAACCCAUAGGGCAGUCAUCCUUCACGCUACUUGGCUGGUUCAGACUCUCGUCCAUUGACCAAUAUUCCUCACUGCUGCCUCCCGUAGGAGUUUGGACCGUGUCUCAGUUCCAAUGUGGGGGACCUUCCUCUCAGAACCCCUAUCCAUCGAAGGUUUGGUGAGCCGUUACCUCACCAACUGCCUAAUGGAACGCAUCCCCAUCGAUAACCGAAAUUCUUUAAUAACAAGACCAUGCGGUCUGAUUAUACCAUCGGGUAUUAAUCUUUCUUUCGAAAGGCUAUCCCCGAGUUAUCGGCAGGUUGGAUACGUGUUACUCACCCGUGCGCCGGUCGCCAUCUCCAGUUUGCAAGCAAACUGAAAUGCUGCCCCUCGACUUGCAUGUGUUAAGCCUGUAGCUAGCGU